rnacentral:snRNA from 1 species
AAAUCGCUUGAACCCAGGAGUUGGAGGUUGCAGUGAGCCGAGAUUGCACCAUUGCAUUCCAGCCUGGGCAACAAGA